ACAACAGCAUAAAUACAUAUACUGACAUGCGGAUAUUUUACUAAAUUCAAUGACAGUAUUUUACAAGACAAUAGGAAUUUUAUUCCAAAAGUCUUUUUUUAUAUAAAUACAGUUAUUGAAAGAAUAAAUUAGUGUUGAAGAAAAUGAAGAAACAUAAACCCAAAGAAGUGAACUGUUACAUUGCGGUACAUUUCAAGGUGUUUAGAUACUACCAAUCGAAGGAAGUUGAAAUCGACCCAUAGUGCGCUCAUUAAGGACAGAAGCGUUUGUAAGUGCAUAAUACAUACAUCUACAGGAUAAUUCUUCCACAAGUUGAAGGAGAAAGUAUCGAAGCAAAUUCCUAUAGGCAUUUACGAAAAAUACAGUUCAAAGGUUCUCUGUUUUCCACACUAAUACGAGUUACAUAAUAACGUUAACCAUCACCGAUGGAUGUAAUAAUUUUCUACAAAUUAAACAAGUCCAUUGCAACACAUGUAUGCAUGUAAUUCCUUCAACUGCAAUGUGAUGACGUUCACUCACACAUCCUGCGAUAGGUAUCUACAGAUUACAUUAAGCAUUUCAUAAAUAUAGAGAUGUACAAAGUGAUUUUUUAAAAGAAUUUAAAUAUAAAAUGCAAAUACUUUUUUGAUUUGUAAUUUCAAAUG